UCGAACAUGUGCAGUUAUGCCUUCCCAGGUUUUGAGUGAGAAUGGUACCUGGAAUUACAGCAGAAGAGGUCCUAUGAGUAAAGAAAACGUAAGGCCAACAAGCAAUAACAUCCAAAAUAACCAGUAAACCCAGGAACUCAGGAUGUUUUGAGAAGAAAAUAACGAAAACAAGUCUCUCUAACAGCUCAAAAUGCACAUGCAAUCAAUCCAUCUUCGACUCAUAAUGAGUAGCACUUCGAUUAUUAAAGAAGGCUUAGCCAGAAGAACAAACUUGAAAUGGAUUUUUAGCUGAAUAUUAUAUGAAAGUGUAUCUCUCAAAGUAUAUCUCUUUCUAUAUCUAAAUAAUUGUCCUCCAACCCCCAGAAAAAUCCCCUCUUAAAAUAGUCAGACUUCUCUUUUGUAACCAAAGCCUUAGGGCAACAAAAUCUUUUUGUUUUUCCUUUUAGUCCUUUACCCAUUUCCAGAUUUCCCAAAAUAAUCCUUGAUUUUCUAACUUGUGCCUCAAGUUUUGAGGCAGAAUUAACAGAAAUUGUACUUUGACCCUUCACUAGAAUGUUCCAGGAGUUUGUUACAUGAUUCCCAUGUUCAAAUACCCUUAAUACCCAUGUCCUCUUUUCUUAAUUACCGGCCUAAGUGUUUUAACCCCUGGUACCUAUCUAUUUGGUCAGAGACUGACCCUAGUUAACUUUAAUACACAUGUCCUCUUUUCUUAAUUACUGGCCUAAGUGUUUUAAACCCUGGUUCAUAUCCAUUUGGUCAGAAACUGACCCUAGUUAACUACUUCAGGUUAUAAACAAAAAUUAUUAUUAGUAGCUAGGAUUAAAUUCUGAAUUGCAGACUAUAUUAUGCAAAAGCAAACCAGCAAGGGUCAAAAUUUGAUCAAUGAAACACAUAUACUCAGGCAAAUAUCACAAUGUGGAAGUGAAUUAUUCAGAAGCAAAGUUGAAACUAAUCAUCACAACCUUCAGAAGCACAUGGAUACUGAUCGAUUUUGGAACCAAAAGAAAUGAAAAAUCAGAGUAUGACAAUUCAGGGACAAUUGUGAAUUCAAAUACUAAGCAGACUAUUAAAAAGCAGGUUCUCCGAACAUAAAACCAAAGCAUGUGGUGGAAAUAAAUUCACUAAUCAGAAAAACUUAACAGAUGAGUAAAUGGACAUGCGUGCCUUUACAUAACAAAAUCAAAGAAACUCAUAAGCAAACGAAAGGAAGAACAAAAGCAAUCAGAAGAGAACUAAAAACAAUUAUAAAACAACUAUAAGGAUGAAAAAAUUAAAACACUCAGAAGAAACCUAAAGCAAUUAUAUGGAAGAACAAUUAAACAGUUAUAAGGACGAACAAAUUAAAACAUUCAGAAUAAACCUAAAGCAAUUACAUUAAAUUAAAGUAAUCAAAAGACGAACAAAGGAAAUUAAACACUCAAAAGGGAACUAAGGCGUUUAUAAGGAAGAACUUAAGAAAUUAAAGCAAUUAAAAGACGGACAAAGGAAAUUAAAACACUCAGAAGAGAAACAAUAGAAACUUAGCUUUCUUUUCAGCAUUGUAACCCUAAAAUUGGACUUCUUCAAUUCUCAAGGUUCUUUGACCCUUUCUGAGAGGAUAUUUGUUCUUUUGAGACCUUUGUUUCAUUGUUGGAAAGGAUGAGAGGGUAUCAGGCUAAGGUUGAUUAACUUUGGGACGGGGUCUGGGCUUUAGAUCUGAUUUUUUGGCCACGUUUAGUUGUAUUCGAGGGUCGUUGGUCGUGGGGUUUUCGAUGGGGAAGGUGAUAUGGUCACCAGGGACCAUUUUUUAGGGACUCCGGUGAUGUUAGGGUUUGGGUCAAAACUUCGAUUUGAUAUUUGAAGAGGUCUGUGAGGAUUCGAGGGACAAGACUUAGAUGGUUGGAAAGAGGAGGAUAAGGCGGUUUAAGG
rnacentral:lncRNA from 1 species